CAAAAUAAUUUUAUUCUGAUAGGGAAGGAUCUUUACUUCUCUGUUUGUAUUUAUUUGCCAUAAUCAUAAAUACAGCAUGACAGAUUAAAACACAAUGAGAAAUAUAAAAAAGGUGAAUGAGUGUAGAAAUUAUCAUAGUUAUAUAAAUGUGAAUGUUAAUGUUUCCUUAUAUUUUUAGAGCCAAAAGUGAAAAAGGAAGAGAAGCCAGAGCCGCAAGUUAAGAAGGAAACCAAACCAGCUUCUUCUGAAAAAAUACAAACACACAGUAUGUAUAUUUAUUUAAUUUAUAAGGUCUUUCUGAAAUCUUCUACAAGAAAAUAUUUACA
rnacentral:lncRNA from 1 species